rnacentral:rRNA from 1 species
AUCUUAGGAUUCAGUGGCGGACGGGUGAGUAACGCGUGAGAAUCUAGCUCUAGGUCGGGGACAACCACUGGAAACGGUGGCUAAUACCGGAUGUGCCGGAAGGUAAAAGGCUUGCUGCCUAGAGAUGAGCUCGCGUCUGAUUAGCUAGUUGGUGUGGUAAGAGCGCACCAAGGCGACGAUCAGUAGCUGGUCUGAGAGGAUGAUCAGCCACACUGGGACUGAGACACGGCCCAGACUCCUACGGGAGGCAGCAGUGGGGAAUUUUCCGCAAUGGGCGAAAGCCUGACGGAGCAAUACCGCGUGAGGGAGGAAGGCUCUUGGGUUGUAAACCUCUUUUCUCAAGGAAUAAAUCAAUGAAGGUACUUGAGGAAUAAGCAUCGGCUAACUCCGUGCCAGCAGCCGCGGUAAUACGGAGGAUGCAAGCGUUAUCCGGAAUGAUUGGGCGUAAAGGGUCCGCAGGUGGCAUUGAAAGUCUGCUGUUAAAGAGUGAGGCUUAACCUCAUAAAAGCAGUGGAAACUACAUAGCUAGAGUGCGUUCGGGGUAGCAGGAAUUCCUGGUGUAGCGGUGAAAUGCGUAGAGAUCAGGAAGAACACCGGUGGCGAAAGCGUGCUACUAGGCCGUAACUGACACUGAGGGACGAAAGCUAGGGGAGCGAAUGGGAUUAGAUACCCCAGUAGUCCUAGCCGUAAACGAUGGAUACUAGGCCGUGGCUUGUAUCGACC